rnacentral:rRNA from 1 species
GAUGAACGCUGGCGGCGUGCCUAAUACAUGCAAGUCGAGCGAACAGAUGAGGAGCUUGCUCCUCUGACGUUAGCGGCGGACGGGUGAGUAACACGUGGAUAACCUACCUAUAAGACUGGGAUAACUUCGGGAAACCGGAGCUAAUACCGGAUAAUAUAUUGAACCGCAUGGUUCAAUAGUGAAAGACGGUUUUGCUGUCACUUAUAGAUGGAUCCGCGCCGCAUUAGCUAGUUGGUAAGGUAACGGCUUACCAAGGCAACGAUGCGUAGCCGACCUGAGAGGGUGAUCGGCCACACUGGAACUGAGAGACGGUCCAGACUCCUACGGGAGGCAGCAGUAGGGAAUCUUCCGCAAUGGGCGAAAGCCUGACGGAGCAACGCCGCGUGAGUGAUGAAGGUCUUCGGAUCGUAAAACUCUGUUAUUAGGGAAGAACAAAUGUGUAAGUAACUAUGCACGUCUUGACGGUACCUAAUCAGAAAGCCACGGCUAACUACGUG